rnacentral:misc_RNA from 1 species
AAUCAUCAACCUCAUAGUUUUAUUACUUUUGAGGCUUGGAUUUGGAAGCUGCUGGCUAAUGUCGGCUCUUCUUAAAUGUAUUAGCUGCUUGUCCGUGAGUUGGCUCAGAGUGUGAUAAGUAUCUACACUUGGUGGCUGCCCACAUUGGAUGUGGCUUCUAAUCGUCUUUUCAGACAAUUUUUUAAG